GCAAAAUUGUUGCACGUGAGCUCCUCAAGGAUUUUGCAAGCUCCUGUGACCUGUCACAUCCGCAUCAUCUGAAUGUGGGAGAAAGCAGCCUGCAGGUCCAGGGAGCAUGUAACAUCACAUAUGGAUCAUACCUGAACUGGAGGGAUUCUGAAGGACAAGCCUGUCAGCGGAGAGAAGCUUUUGGCUGCAACCCAGGAAGAAGGAUUUAAAGCCAACAGACAAAAGGUUCAAUUAGUGCAACAAGAGCUUUCAACAUCCUCAAAGGCAUCUAAUUGUUCAGGACAUACUGAGGAUCUGCACUCAGAGAAAUCAAGCCUCGAGUGGAACUCCCCUGAAAGCAGAGGCACCAGGAAGCCAAGAUUAGUUUUCAGCAACAACAGGGUCCCCCCCAGUGCCAGUGCCAAGAUGUGUGUGCAGAUGUGCAAGUUUGGAAGUGAGGAGCAGGACAGAGAGGGCAGGAAGACCUCAUCUCGCAUUCAGCAGUGCGGUCACCAGGCCAGGCCUGACUUGCUGCAGAAAUGAAGGCAGAGACCAACACGGUGAUAAUAAGUUCAGAUCCAGUGCUACAGCUCUGCUUGGCCCAAAAGGGAACAUGAAGGAGAAAUGAGAAGCUGGUGAAAAGCCUCAGGGAGAAACAGGCUCUCUGGGUGGGACCCUCGUCCUCACAGAGGUGCAGUCAAGCAGUUGUUAUUUUCUUUUGGCAGCCUUUGGUUUCUGUGCUAUAGAUUUUCUCUCAUUUCUUUCUGCACCCAGAAUGCUCUGUGUGUUAUAAAGGCUGGGGAGAACCAGUGCGCGCUGGGAACGGUCUAUGUGUCCGUAGAUGUGCACGUAGAUGCGUGUAGAUGCACACAUCCGUGUACGCAGAAGCCUAAGCCCCAGAACGUUUUGGGUAGGAUCCUCCUCAUCUAAUUUUAGCUUUCUGAAGCUUGAUUAUCUAGUCCAACCUUGUGGCUUAACCUUCUUCCGCAGGCAACAGAGAGAGGAGUCAGUUCAUCCCAUCAUAAAGUAGGGGUAUGAGACAGAAGGGAUGCCUUCUGCCAUAGAAGUACCUCUGCUGCCUUUGGCACAGAAUUGGUCCAGUGCUCAGGAUUACAGCGCUUAAAGGCACAUAAGGAUGAUGAACAAGUGGAAAGGAUCUUAUGUCUUUACACCCACAGGGAGUUCCGUGCCUCUGUCCUGUUGGCAUUAGUCAUAUUGAUAAUAGACUGUGUAGGAAAGUGCUGGAAAACACAAAAAGAAGUCGGAGCAAUUCGAAUUGUCAUGGCAAUAUCCUCAGUUUUUCAAGAAGUUUGGUUCUGUUUAGCUAGUCACUUUAAUUUUCCUUCGCUAACUUGUCUCCAUUCUCUGCCAUAAUGAUAAUUCUUUCUAUGACUGUCAGCCCUUUGCAUUGUGACAGCUUAAAUUAAUGUUUUGAUAUUUCUCUCUUUGUAAGAAUACAACAAAGAAGACAACUGCCAAGGAUAGGACAGAAACUGUAUGAAUGUAAAACAGACAUUGUGCACCAAUAAAGCCAGAAGGAAUAAUUUUCACUUUA